GAGUUCAAGGCCAGCCUGAACUACAGAGUGAGACCCUGUCUCAAAAAACAAACAAACAGACAGACAUAAAAGAAGAGAGUAAACAGACAAACUAAAGAAUGGAAAAACAUAUUUGCAAAGCAUUUAUCAGAGAAGAACUUAAUAUCCAGUCUACAUAAAGAACUGGACCAUGAGGACAUCAUGCGGAGUGAAAUUAGACAGACACAGAAAACAGUUUGGCAGUUCCUCCACAAGUUAAACACAGAAUUACCACAUGGCCUAUCUCUUCUCCUAACAUGUACCCAAGAGUAUGGAAAAGAUGUGUUCAGGUAAAAACUUGCAUGGACAUUAUUCAUAGCACAUUUACAAAAGCCAAAACGUGAAGACAGUGCAAAUAUCUAUCAAUAAAUGAAUGGACACAAUAUAUAGCAUGUUCAUUUAAUAGAAUAAAAGGCUAUGAAGAGGAAUAAAGUACUAAAACAUGGCACAACAUAGAUAAAUUGCAAAAAAGAUUAUGCUAAGUGAAUGAAGUCAGACAUAAAAGACACCUUCACGCAGCCCAUUUGUGUGGAAUAUCCAGAAUGGGUGAAUCUAAAUGUGGAGAAUGCAGACUGAUGGCAUCCAGGUGCUAGGGGUGGCUUCCUACAAGGCACAGGGCUUCUCUUGUGGUGAUGAAAAUGUGGGAUCAGUGGAGAUGACAGUGGAACACAUCAUGGACGUGCUUGAUACUACUGAACUAGAAACUGGUACUACUGAGUUGAAAAGGCUACUACUGAAUUAUUAAAAAAAAAAAGACUUCUUUUAGGCUAUAUGACUUCUGCCUCAAAAUCAAACCAAAACAAAAACCCUGUCAUAAAUAAGCAGUGCAAAAUCCAAGACUAACCAUAAGACAAACAUCAACUUCCAAUUGAGGGGUGCUCCACAAACAUUCUACAAAAUACCCAAUGUAUGUGCCUCAAAACCAAAGAUCAGAAGACACAAGAAAGUAAGAGAAAGUCACAGCCAAGCUGAGAUGCAUAGUUACAAGACAAGGAAGUGUGAAUGAAUGAUAGACUUCAGUUAAUGCUGUCAACGCAGGUCACCAAGACAGUGCUCCCCAUGGUGACCACCAUGUGCGUGUGCCCCCUGGGGUUCAUCUGGAAGCACCAGGGCUGUUCUCACAACGUCUGCUAUCUGUGUCUUUGGGUCUCUUCUUGUGCAACUCAGAGGCAAAGAAAACUGAGGUACGGAGACAGUGGACAUAGCCCAAGAUCACAUGGCCAGGAAGGCAUUGCAGCUCCAGAGCCUAUAUCCUGGAUCACAGUGAGAUGAAGAAAAGGACAGUAGAAAGGAAGUGCCUGACUGGGAGAGACACUGAUGCCUCCAGGGUCAGCAGGCCUAGGAUGUGAGCCCAUCAGAAUACAGAAAACAGAAGAGACAGUUAGUACACUGUGUAAAUAUUGGGAACACGGCUGUGAGCAAGGCAAGUAACUGAGUAAAAGGAAAAAUGCACGCGCAUGUGUGUGUGUGUGGUGUGUGUAGGUGUGUGUAGGAGAUAGAUAUUAAGGAAACACAGUUCAAUUACUAUUGCAAUACUAAGAAGCCCAAGGAAAGAAGCCCUAAUUGAAGGACAGACUUCUCACAGCAAGUUUGGGUGCAGGCAAAACAGUCAUCAUUGUCCAUAUACUAUAAGAUUAUUAAGUAAGUAUUUAUUGAUUAUUCAUCACAUACCAAACAAUAGGAAUAUGGCAAAGGUGAAGAAUUUGGUCCAACCUGGGCACCAUAGAGAAGCCAGAAGGCAACAGGCACUCUCAGGAGUAUGCAUUAGUGCUUCACUGCUGGUGAUCCAGGGGGGUGAAUGUCCCCUGUGGAGUGUGGGCAGGAAGGGAAGACAUCAAAGAAAUCUGCAGGAGGAGCUGAGGCUAAGUUGCUGGGGUGGGAUGAGGCUUGCAUUGAGGGCCCCAAAGGUGUAAGGGCAUGGUGGUUUCAGGGAGAGAGCAUUUAGGAAGGUGGAGGAGGAAGUGGCCCCUCUCUAAAGUCCCAGUCUUGUCAAUGUCAGUUCCAUGGUUGGCUGGAGCCUUACUGGGCACUGGACAGUCCAGACUGAAUGGAAAGGGACAUACACUUACAUGUUGGUGGGAGAGUCCUGAGGCCACAGUGCAAUCAAGCAGUUCAGAGGGGGGAUGCUGUGGCCAUCUUUGGAAUCUAACCAGCAGUGGGUCCUUUCAGGGGAGGGAAGGACCUCUGAAGAUCUGGAGGGCUAUGCUUUUACCACAGGAGAUGAAACAGUAUUGUGCUUACUGAGGAAUUAAAUUAUUCCUCAUAGCACUACUAGCACAUCCAUUUGUGCACUGAGAAAGAGAGUCAUGGAGAAAUGACAUCUAUUUUUGAGGUCACCCAACUGGACAGUUGUGGAGGUGGCAUCCCUGUGCUGUUGGUUGCUCUAGAGUCUGAUGUCCCCUGCAACUGGUACCAUUGUAGUCCCUGGUCUUCUUCACAAAUGUUCGUGUAUCUCUAAAUUGGGGCAGCGAAGGUGAUACACAAAUUUCAAAGCCCGUGUUCUCAUGUAAUACACAGAGAGGGUGGUAACAACUUUAUUUUUAUGAUAUCUAAUUUCUAUGGUACUAAAAUUUGCAGGCUUUUCCUGCUGCCUCUUGUGUGGGCUGCUUUAUCCUUAUCAUUUGAAAACGUAUUAAUGCUGGGUGCCACAGUCCUGCCAUCUGCGACCUUUACCUGCUCAGCCAAGGACAAGUAUUUGUAUUCAGCUACAUUUUCCAGCCUUGAAGGAGUAGCUUCUGGCAAGACACUGUUUUCAAGCUUGGAGACACCCAGCUUCACGUGCUGCUGGAAAACUAAAGGCUUCCUUUUAUGGGAACAGGACAGGUGAUGCAUUGAUUUUUGCCUUGAUAGUGAAAGCAAGCACUUCAGCCCUAUUCUGUAAUUUGUAAGCUCCAGUGCACCUAUCAUUUCCCUCCUUAAAUAAGCCAUGUUAUCAGGCCGAGCUACCAUUCAGAGAGAUGGUGAGUGUGCGUGUGUGUAAGUGCAUGCACCAGCACCAGCACACAUACCUGUGUGUUUCACAAAACAAACCCAAAGUCUAAAUUGGAAAACUCCUAUUUUUUUCCUUUAAAGACUAACAGUAGCAACUUGUAUUUCUCGCUUUCCUCACUCAGUGAUAUUUACAGGAGACAUAAGUCCCCUGGCAGAGUACAGCAUCUGCCCGUGUUAGUGGUCCAAACACAAGACCAGGUUAGGGUGUUAUGGUUUAGAUCUAAAAUGUUCCCCCCAAAACCCCACGUUUGGAGGCAGGGCCUGGUUGGAAGGGGCAGAUCACCAGAGGCAUGCCUUGGAAGAGUAUAUUCUUUCCCGGCUCCUUCCUUCCUUCUAUUCCUGCUUUCUGGCCACUGAGUUGUGAGUAGUUUUCCUCUUCCAUGUUGUUCCUGCCUUGGAUUUGAAGGAACAUGGACUGGAUUCACUGAAACUGUGAGCCAAACAAAUCUCUCCUCCUAUAAGGUGUGAGUGUCAAGUACUGUGUUCAGCAGCAUGAAAGCUGACUAAUGCAGGUGUGCUUGUGGACAAGAAGCCUCUUGUUUGCUUUGUUAUUGUGGUUUAUUUUUGUAGUCCUAAUAUCAUUGUUCACACUAUUCUUGGCACUUUUUAAUAUGGGUUCCAGGUUGAUUGAUUCUGUUACAACCAAAGAUUUGCACAUAGUAGGUGUUCACCAAACACCUGUCAAAUGAAUUAAUGUUAAUUUUGCUAUGAAUGGAAGGACUUCACCAGAUGCAAUGCCAAGAAAAGCUUACGUCUUUAUCGCUAAUGUCAGUAAAUCAUGGCGGCUUCUUUGGCUGGAAUGAUGGUGCUUCCUCUGCAGGCAGCAUGGGUCCGGUGGGCAGGCAGGUGGAGGGGAGCAUCCCCUGUGUGCACCUGGUCCAGGUUCCAGGCCCCACUGCCGCGUGCACACAGUGACCUAUCUGUGUGAGGCUCAUUCUCAAGGCUGCUUCACCCCAAUGAAUGCAACAGAGAAGCUAGUGCAGAUGCUGAGGAGGUGAAAGGGAGGCCACGGAGGAAACACCCAGAGCACUGUGGAAGCCACCAUGGAGGGUGCCUCGGCCCCACACAGAGUGCACCCCGUAUUUAGGCACCAGUGUGGUUAUUCCAUUUCCGUGUCCAUGGCCGGUCAGGAACCAGGGUAAGUGGGGUGGGAGGUGUGUGCAAGCGAGGUAGUCAAGAUGGCCCCUCUAAGUGGACACCACUCCUUUGUCACUGCCAGUCACUUCCAAGCCAGCUGAGGCCUAGGCACACUUCCGCCCUCACACAGAGACCGCCCUGCAACAGCCAAGGUGGCAGGCCUCUAGUGGACUUGAGAACGUGGUUCAAGUUACUCCUGCUGGGACACAUUUUCUUUUUCUUUUAAUUAAAAAC